AUGACGAAGCCAGCCCAAACCAAGCGUGCAGACCCUCUGUCCUCAGCUCGUCGGGUAGAGAAUCCUCACAACAUUGCUGCUCCUCCCUCAAGACUGCGGCGGGGCGCAGGAUCAGCAGACCUCGCACACCCUGCGGCGAGGCAGAGACACACAGAGACUGAGACGCCGAGAAGAACAAAGCGAGACCGAGCAAGGUCCGGGCCGCGGCGGCACGCCGAGGCGGCAGCCCUCCCGGAGCAGCCCCCGCCCCGGCCGGGGCUCGCAUCCCCUCGCCCGCUCCUGCGCGGGGGCGCCUCCGCGGCCCACUGGCUCCCGGCCCGGCCCCGCCCCGCCCCGUCGCUCUCCUGCGGCUUAACCCCCGCCUGCCCGCCCCCUGCCGGCCCUUCAGCCCCUCCGGCGGCAGCAAGCCGGCGCUGGCCCUCGGCCUCCCCUACCGGCGGGCGCGCGCGGCGCCGGGAGCUGACCGUGGUGCUGAGCGCGCGGCUCGGGCUCGGGCUCGGGCGCGGCUCCCGGCCCUGCCAAGGCCGUGUCCUGCGACACUCCCGGCCCCAGCGGUAAGGCCUGGAGAAUGUAGGCUUGGGGGUUGGGAGGGUGGUAGCGGUGAUUUGGGAAUUUUCGUGCGCUUUUUCGCGCGAUGGACGGGCUGGGUGGAAGAACUAGGGUCUGCGCUCUCUCCAGCCUGAGGUAUCCUGGACGGAUGGUACGGGGUCUAGGGUCUGGGGGAGAUGACGCUUUUAGGUCUGGGCUAGGGAAGGGGAGAAACCCUGUGCCCGCGGAUGCGGGGGCAGGGAAAGAACGGAUAAGACUGGAGACCCAUCUUCUCUCGGCUGAGCAAGCCAGGAAUGCCCAGAGACUCCCAUAGAGGAGGUGGACCAGAACCUUCGCUCCCCGAAAGGGCCCUUUGUCUCCCCAACGUGGGGGUUGGGUGAACUGGUGAUGUUCUCACUGCAGAUUCUAUUUCUGCUUCAUUCCCACCCCACACCCAUCCCAGAACACAGAGGCUUUCCCUCCCCACAAUGACCUUAACUUCAUUGCUCUGAAAGGCAGCCUCGACAGAGACAAACUAUUGCCCCAAACAUAGCCUUCCGUCCCCAGCCCAAUGUCCAGGAAGUCCUGGGGCGGGGCUCCCCUCAAAGGCCUCUGCUUCCUUGUCACCAUUCACCCCUUUGUAUUUUACUGCUUGUGAUUUUCAUGGAUAUUGGGGGCGGGGCAGGGGAAGGCAUGGCAAAUACCAAAACUAUUCAUCAAAAUUUUUAUAUCUCCAAACGGUUCUGUUGUAUAUAUGUACCUCUGUGGUUUUUAUUUUGCUGCAUGAAACACCCAGUCACUUUCAUGUUAAAAAGAGAAAGAAAAGCACAGAAUUAGUUUUGCAAAGGGAAAAGAAAAUCGUAGAUAGUUGAGUUAAAGUUAGUCGUGUGGAAAAGCAGCCAAUAGAAUGACUUCAUUUGCUCAGUUUGCAGUAAGUCCAUAUGCAUGUGCAUGCUCUGUGUAAGGAGCUGAGAGGGAAGGCCCACACACGGGAAAUCUCUGCCCUGCUUUCUCUCCACUGGAUCCUGCUCUGGCUCCUAACCUGCCUUCUUGCCUCCACUCUUGCCCCUACUUUCCAUUCUCACCUGCAACUGGAGUGAUCUGUUAGAAGUGAACGUUGGCUUAUGGCACUCAUCCUUGAUGACAUGGCACUAGGAUAAAGGCCUAGACCCUCCCUGUGGCUUCAGGCCAGGUGUGAUCUGCCCUGCCCAUCUCCUGGCCUCAUCUCACUGGCUUGCUGCUCUGGCCACCUGGGCCAGCUUCCAGACCUCUAAAUAGUCUCCUCCCUUGCUCCUCUGGGCCUUUCUGCAGCAUGUUUCCUCUGCCUGGUAUAUACUUCCCAUGUCUUUUGCCUGGUUGUCUUCAGCUGUCUUUUGGGUCUUGGUUUAAAUACCAUAUCCUUGAAUCAGAAUUGAUUAAAUAAAUACAUAGUCUGGUCCCUGUUCUCA
rnacentral:lncRNA from 1 species